AAUCCACAGAUCGUAAUCUAAACCAGAGAACAAUCGAUCUCCAAAUCAAUACCCUCACAGGUAUUAUUUGUUAUGGGAACAUGGAGGACUCUAUGACUCAAACGAUUUCACGCGCACCAGUCAUAAUUUACUACGGCCGGAUGGAUUUGACCUCUCGUUCUCCCGAACGUGAAUCUAGCGUCCUGCCAACAAGGCUAUUUUGGCCCCAUCUUUCUUCAAA